rnacentral:rRNA from 1 species
CCUACGGGAGACAGCAGUGAGGAAUAUUGGUCAAUGGACGAGAGUCUGAACCAGCCAAGUAGCGUGAAGGAUGACUGCCCUAUGGGUUGUAAACUUCUUUUAUAAAGGAAUAAAACGAGGCACGUGUGCCUUUUUGCAUGUACUUUAUGAAUAAGGAUCGGCUAACUCCGUGCCAGCAGCCGCGGUACUACGGAGGAUCCGAGCGGUAUCCGGAUUUAUUGGGUUUAAAGGGAGCGUAGAUGGGUUGUUAAGUCAGUUGUUAAAGUUUGCGGCUCAACCGUAAAAUUGCAAUUGAUACUGGCAGUCUUGAGUACAGUUGAGGUAGGCGGAAUUCGUGGUGUAGCGGUGAAAUGCUUAGAUAGCACGAAGAACCCCGAUUGCGAAGGCAGCUUACUAAACUGUGACUGACAUUGAUGCUCGAAAGUGUGGGUAUCAAACAGGAUUAGAUACCCCUGUAGUC